rnacentral:tmRNA from 1 species
GGGGACGAUUGGUGUAGACGGAUUCCUGAUUAGGAAAAUUGCAAGCGGAGCUCGAAGAACUCCUAAAACUCUUCGGACCAAAUAAGUGCAAAUAAAUCUGCACAGCCAGCUCUAGCUUACGCUUAAGUUGGUUCUGUCCCAUGAGGACAGGUGCCGCUCCUUUGGCGCUUGAACAAAGGAAGUCGGUAUAAUACUUCAAGCUUACCGAGCUCUCUCGACCCAGAGUGCUUGGGAAAUGCAUCGGUCAAAGGCCUAGAGUUUUUCGUUCGGCUUAAAGCCCUAGGUUCUUACCAACCGGACUAAGCUUGUAGAGGUUUUUCUAUGACGAAUUCGCACCCGGGUCCGAUUCCCGGCGUCUCCACAC